GCCGGCCUAGCUCAAUCGGUAGAGCAACUGACUUGUAAUCAGUAGGUUGGGGGUUCAAGUCCUCUGGCCGGCACCA
rnacentral:tRNA from 3 species